rnacentral:tRNA from 1 species
CCGAUGUAGCUCAGUGGCUAGAGCAACUGAUUCGUAAUCAGUAGGUCGGAGGUUCAAAUCCUCUCAUCGG